rnacentral:rRNA from 1 species
UACGGAGGGUGCAAGCGUUGUUCGGAAUUACUGGGCGUAAAGCGCGCGUAGGCGGCUUUGUAAGUUAGAGGUGAAAGCCCGGGGCUCAACCCCGGAACUGCCUUUAAGACUGCAUCGCUUGAAUCCGGGAGAGGUGAGUGGAAUUCCGAGUGUAGAGGUGAAAUUCGUAGAUAUUCGGAAGAACACCAGUGGCGAAGGCGGCUCACUGGACCGGUAUUGACGCUGAGGUGCGAAAGCGUGGGGAGCAAACAGG